AUGUCGGUCUCGGCGCCGAUGGCGUCGAGGGUGGCUCGGGGGAGCGGUUGCGGGGAGGUGCUCGGGGGAGACGGUGGCGCGGAGGGCGUCGAGGGUGGCUCCAGUGGCGUCUACGGCGGCUCCGGUGAUGGCGAGGGAGGUAGGGGCGGCGAGGAGCGGACGAGGGUGGCUCCGGGGGCAUAG
rnacentral:rRNA from 1 species